GCAAGUCGAACGGAAAGGCCGAAGCUUGCUUCGGUACUCGAGUGGCGAACGGGUGAGUAACACGUGGGUGAUCUGCCCUGUACUUCGGGAUAAGCUUGGGAAACUGGGUCUAAUACCGGAUAUGACGAUCUCUUGGAUGGGGUUGUGGAAAGCUUUUGCGGUAUGGGAUGAGCUCGCGGCCUAUCAGCUUGUUGGUGGGGUAAUGGCCUACCAAGGCGGCGACGGGUAGCCGGCCUGAGAGGGUGACC
rnacentral:rRNA from 1 species